AACAAGAUGGCUGACACAAGCGUCACCGAAAACAAUUGAUAUCAUUCCGCAGCAUUGUAGUUAAACGAUAUAAGUUAAAUAGCAUGUGAUUUAAGGGUUUGCAUCUAUAACUUGAAAAAAGCUAAAAUUUUCAUGGAAACCUCAAGUCUCUCUCAAGUGUCUGCAUGGGUACGUUGUCCCGGAACAAUCUUCUGUGGCCCGCUUCAAAAGGUUAGACUAUGAAAGAUCUAUCAUGAAUAACCCGGAACAAUUUACUGCUCUGAUUUGUGAAGUGUCAACAACCACAAGGAAAAAUUAUAAAUAUCGUCACUAAGUUGCGCCAUCCCGACGUCGGAGGGGUUGAUCGGGGAGGUAAACCAGCAUCCACGAGGGCGCCAGGGGAAAGAACGGCAAUACUGUACGCGCACCCGUCAGAGGGCAAAGGUACCACCCCCGCCAGUGAGCAUGUGCAUAAGUAAGGUGACCAACUAUUUUUUGUUCAAAAAGAGUACACUUUGCAAGUAUUUAAUAGGUGAAGAAAAAACGAUAAAAACUUUAUUUUCUUUUAAAAACAUAUUUUUCUUCGGAGUGGAUAUUUUUUGUUAGAUGAGGAUGUUCGACUAAUAAUAAUAAUCCGAACAACUUUCAUAUUAAAUUUGACUGUUAAGACGGCAGAUAAUGUUUUUACAGAAAGUUGCGACUUCUCACUGCUCCAAUUAUCAUUACCUAGUGAAAAUACCCUUUCAACAGCAGCAUUCGUGCCUGGACAACAUAAGGAAAUUUCUAUUAAAACUUUUAAAUUUUCAUGUGGGAUAUGUUCUACUCUAAAAUGCCGAAAGAUUUCUACCCAUCUUUUGUCAAGUUCUAUUUUCUCAUCGUUCCAUUUCUUCAAUAUUUCUUCAUUUAAAUAUAAAUUUACUCUUCGAAUAUCUUCAAAGAAAAAAUUGUCAUUAAUAACAAUAUCUUUUACUUCUUUCAUUACAAAUUCGACUGCUGAAGAAACUUCUUUCCAUUCAAUUUUACUAUUUAGAAGGGUCCAUUUGAAACAAUUUAAUGCUCUAAAGUUCACUAUCCAUUCUUCGAUAUAUUCAUAGCAAAUUUUAUAAAAAUUUUUAACUUCUUUUAAGAAUUCAUUUUUUAUUCCGGGAUUGGAAUCCUCCAAAACGGUCAGUUUAUUCUU